AUAAAAGGUUUAAGGAGAUUCGAGAACUGAAAGAUCAAGCACAUCGGAGUUUGGAAGAUAGGAACCAGCUGAAAGAUGAAGCUACUCAGUGGGAGACCCACAACCAUCACUUGCAGGUCCUCUUGGAUCAGAAGGAGGCGUUUGUGCAAGAUAUUUUAAGCGGGCCUAAUCAUUCCUUAUUGCACAACCUUAUCAAGGAUGCUCAGUAUUAGACUGGCAGACAUGCACGCCUUGCCAAAUUUGUUGACCAUGCCCUUGAGGACCUUCUCGGAUUUCUGAAGAAAGCAUAUGCUGACAUGUUCCCUCACAACACUCCAUGGGUUGUUUUUCAUUUUGUAUUAGUGUGUAGGAUUGUAUUUGAAAGGAUCAAGGAUGAUCUUCUUGUAGUUCAUUAAACAAAUUUCGAGUUGUAAUAGUUUGUAUUGUUAAUCUUCAAAUGAAUAAAAGAGAUUUUUGUUGAAAUACUUAUGUUGUCUUAUUCCUACUCACUGUAUGACUAUAUAUGCACACUGACACACUAGCACCC
rnacentral:lncRNA from 1 species